rnacentral:rRNA from 1 species
GCUUUAACACAUGCAAGUCGAGCGAUGAAAUUCUCUUCGGAGAAUGGAUUAGCGGCGCACGGGUGAGUAACGCGUAUCCAACCUGGCCCAUACCACGGGAUAGCCCGUCGAAAGGCGGAUUAAUACCGUAUGCUGUCAUUAAGAUGCAUAUAUUGAUGACGAAAGGACUGGCGGUAUGGGAUGGGGAUGCGUCUGAUUAGCUUGUUGGCGGGGUAACGGCCCACCAAGGCGACGAUCAGUAGGGGUUCUGAGAGGAAGGUCCCCCACAUUGGAACUGAGACACGGUCCAAACUCCUACGGGAGGCAGCAGUGAGGAAUAUUGGUCAAUGGGCGCAAGCCUGAACCAGCCAAGUAGCGUGAGGGAAGACUGCCCUACGGGUUGUAAACCUCUUUUGUUUGGGAAUAAAGUGCGGGACGUGUCCCGCAUUGCAUGUACCAUUUGAAUAAGGACCGGCUAAUUCCGUG